AAAUUGAAGAGUUUGAUCAUGGCUCAGAUUGAACGCUGGCGGCAGGCCUAACACAUGCAAGUCGAACGGUAACAGGAAGCAGCUUGCUGCUUCGCUGACGAGUGGCGGACGGGUGAGUAAUGUCUGGGAAACUGCCUGAUGGAGGGGGAUAACUACUGGAAACGGUGGCUAAUACCGCAUAACGUCGCAAGACCAAAGAGGGGGACCUUCGGGCCUCUUGCCAUCAGAUGUGCCCAGAUGGGAUUAGCUUGUUGGUGAGGUAACGGCUCACCAAGGCGACGAUCCCUAGCUGGUCUGAGAGGAUGACCAGCCACACUGGAACUGAGACACGGUCCAGACUCCUACGGGAGGCAGCAGUGGGGAAUAUUGCACAAUGGGCGCAAGCCUGAUGCAGCCAUGCCGCGUGUAUGAAGAAGGCCUUCGGGUUGUAAAGUACUUUCAGCGGGGAGGAAGGUGUUGUGGUUAAUAACCACAGCAAUUGACGUUACCCGCAGAAGAAGCACCGGCUAACUCCGUGCCAGCAGCCGCGGUAAUACGGAGGGUGCAAGCGUUAAUCGGAAUUACUGGGCGUAAAGCGCACGCAGGCGGUCUGUCAAGUCGGAUGUGAAAUCCCCGGGCUCAACCUGGGAACUGCAUUCGAAACUGGCAGGCUUGAGUCUUGUAGAGGGGGGUAGAAUUCCAGGUGUAGCGGUGAAAUGCGUAGAGAUCUGGAGGAAUACCGGUGGCGAAGGCGGCCCCCUGGACAAAGACUGACGCUCAGGUGCGAAAGCGUGGGGAGCAAACAGGAUUAGAUACCCUGGUAGUCCACGCCGUAAACGAUGUCUACUUGGAGGCUGUGCCCUUGAGGCGUGGCUUCCGGAGCUAACGCGUUAAGUAGACCGCCUGGGGAGUACGGCCGCAAGGUUAAAACUCAAAUGAAUUGACGGGGGCCCGCACAAGCGGUGGAGCAUGUGGUUUAAUUCGAUGCAACGCGAAGAACCUUACCUGGUCUUGACAUCCACAGAAUCCUGUAGAGAUACGGGAGUGCCUUCGGGAACUGUGAGACAGGUGCUGCAUGGCUGUCGUCAGCUCGUGUUGUGAAAUGUUGGGUUAAGUCCCGCAACGAGCGCAACCCUUAUCCUUUGUUGCCAGCGGUCCGGCCGGGAACUCAAAGGAGACUGCCAGUGAUAAACUGGAGGAAGGUGGGGAUGACGUCAAGUCAUCAUGGCCCUUACGACCAGGGCUACACACGUGCUACAAUGGCAUAUACAAAGAGAAGCGACCUCGCGAGAGCAAGCGGACCUCAUAAAGUAUGUCGUAGUCCGGAUUGGAGUCUGCAACUCGACUCCAUGAAGUCGGAAUCGCUAGUAAUCGUGGAUCAGAAUGCCACGGUGAAUACGUUCCCGGGCCUUGUACACACCGCCCGUCACACCAUGGGAGUGGGUUGCAAAAGAAGUAGGUAGCUUAACCUUCGGGAGGGCGCUUACCACUUUGUGAUUCAUGACUGGGGUGAAGUCGUAACAAGGUAACCGUAGGGGAACCUGCGGUUGGAUCACCUCCUUACCUGAAAGAA
rnacentral:rRNA from 1 species